rnacentral:rRNA from 1 species
UGGGGAAUCAUAGACAAUGGGGGCAACCCUGAUCUUGCCAUGCCGCGUGGUCGAUGAAGGCCUUAGGGUUGUAAAGACCUUUCACCGGUGACGAUAAUGACGGUAGCCGGAGAAGAAGCCCCGGCUAACUCCGUGCCAGCAGCCGCGGUAAUACGGAGGGGGCUAGCGUUGUUCGGAAUUACUGGGCGUAAAGAGCGUGUAGGCGGCCUGGUAAGUCUGCCGUGAAAACCUGGGGCUCAACCCUGGGCGUGCGGUGGAUACUGCUAGGCUAGAGGAUGGUAGAGGCGAGUGGAAUUCCCGGUGUAGCGGUGAAAUGCGCAGAUAUCGGGAGGAACACCAGUAGCGAAGGCGGCUCGCUGGGCCAUUCCUGACGCUGAGACGCGAAAGCGUGGGGAGCAAACAGGAUUAGAUACCCCCGUAGUCC